CAUGCACAGGUGGGGUCCCUUGGCCUGGCCUGUGCCCUCUUGCAAUCUGAGAACCCUCAGGGGAUGUCAGAGAGGUUUCCGUCUGAUCUUCACAGGCCAGGCCGAGGGACUCCACCGGUGCAUG
rnacentral:pre_miRNA from 1 species